AGAGUUUGAUCAUGGCUCAGACGAACGCUGGCGGCAGGCUUAACACAUGCAAGUCGAACGCUCGUAGCAAUACGGGAGUGGCAGACGGGUGAGUAACGCGUGGGAACAUACCCUCCGGUUCGGAAUAGCUCAGGGAAACUUGGAUUAAUACCGGAUACGGCUGAGAGGCGAAAGAUUUAUCGCCGGGGGAUUGGCCCGCGUUCGAUUAGCUUGUUGGUGAGGUAACGGCUCACCAAGGCGAUGAUCGAUAGCUGGUCUGAGAGGAUGAUCAGCCACAUUGGGACUGAGACACGGCCCAAACUCCUACGGGAGGCAGCAGUGGGGAAUAUUGGACAAUGGGCGCAAGCCUGAUCCAGCCAUGCCGCGUGAGUGAUGACGGCCUUAGGGUUGUAAAGCUCUUUCGCUCGGGACGAUAAUGACGGUACCGAGAUAAGAAGCCCCGGCUAACUUCGUGCCAGCAGCCGCGGUAAUACGAAGGGGGCUAGCGUUGUUCGGAAUUACUGGGCGUAAAGCGCGUGUAGGCGGGUCUUUAAGUCAGGGGUGAAAUGCCAAGGCUCAACCUUGGAACUGCCUUUGAUACUGGAGAUCUUGAGUCCGGGAGAGGUGAGUGGAAUUGCGAGUGUAGAGGUGAAAUUCGUAGAUAUUCGCAAGAACACCAGUGGCGAAGGCGGCUCACUGGCCCGGAACUGACGCUGAGACGCGAAAGCGUGGGGAGCAAACAGGAUUAGAUACCCUAGUAGUCC
rnacentral:rRNA from 1 species